rnacentral:tRNA from 1 species
UGCGGAUUGAUGUAAUAGUAACAUAAGUGGCUCAUGACCAGUCUAUAGGGGUGCGAAUCCUUUAUCCGCAU